AUCUUGACCUCAGAUCAGGCAAGGCUACCCGCUGAAUUUAAGCAUAUUAAUAAGCGGAGGAAAAGAAACUAACAAGGAUUCCCCCAGUAACGGCGAGUGAAGCGGGAAUAGCUCAAAUUUGAAAUCUCCGACGCUUGCGUCGGCGAGUUGUAGUUGCGAGAAGCACUUUCUAGGCGGAUCGGUCGUGCCUAAGUUGCUUGGAACAGUACGUCACAGAGGGUGACAACCCCGUCUGUGGCGCGGCCGGCCGCUCACGA
rnacentral:rRNA from 1 species